CUGUUGAAUCUUUAAAAAAUUAAGCAAGAACUUGGGGUAACGUUUCGGGUAAUUUAUUGUAAUAUUAAUAUUUUCUCCAUAUGACAUGAUGUGGGCGCUGCCACCCUGAUGGAAAAAGAGUAGUGUCACAGGGUUGCAUUCGGUUGAGGUAGCUGCCAGAUCGACCAAAGUACUUUACAAUCAAUAAAGAGACUCCAUCCAGUGUCUCCCUGGAAAUGCAAUAUUAGUCCAAGAACCUUAUACAGAAAGCCUUUAAACAGAGCACCUACCGGACCAAGAGUGAAGAUCGGAGUGUUGUAACGCUAACAGAAAAGCUUUAUGAGAAAGUGGCCAAAAAGCUGCCUGACAAGAGAAGUCAAAUCCAGAAGGGAAGCCAAAUCCUGUGUAGCCUAAUUGUAGAGCAGAACAGUGUCCCAGCAAUCAAGACGACCACGGCGAUGAAGGCGAUCUCUCGGCCGCGGUCCAAUCGAUUCAGCCCAAGUACCCUGGCGCUUCGGAAAUGGCCACGUUUAACACGCUGCAAUCUUUAAAGGAACUCCAUGGGCCGCUGAAGGGCUGCCAACGAUACAGAGGCGCUGAUGGUAACUUUAAUGCCAAAAGAAUGCCCUGGCUUGGAUGUCUUUGCGUGAGAAUUAGAGUCUCCCUGGCGGCAUCUUCGCCGAUGAUAUGGGCUUAAGCAAGACCCUGAAAAUGAUUUCAGGAGAGCAAUGUGAAUGAGAGAAGGAUACCAACGGAAUAGCACUGGUGGAUGGAAUUCGAAGGGCUGAAAAACUCAUCUUGGUGGCACCUUAGUCGUGUGCCCGGCCAGCUUGCUGCGCCAGUGGGAGGCAAAGGUUCAUCAUGGCUACAACCGCGAGACAAAGGCCAAACAAAAUCGUGGGUAGAGAGCAUAAGUCGAGUAAUCGACGUUUCAGACUACAAGAAACAACAGAACCGUCUGCAGCUGGAAAGAAAAUUUAACAGCUUGCCCUGCAAGGAGUUGCAUAUGAUUGAGAUUUCCUUUAUCUUUUUGGUUCACAAUGAGAAAAUAAGCUUAAAGUAUUUGGUUUAAGCAUUAUAUGUAUAUCUGCUCCUUUUCCCACAGCCAUAAUAUUUACGCGCCAAAAUUUGAUUUUUAAUCUACUAGGUUUCGCUGUUUGUGGCGAUAGUUUACACAACAGGGAUGAAAUAUUCGGAAAAUCGAUUUUGACUAUGA